AUUGAACGCUGGCGGCAGGCCUAACACAUGCCAGUCGAACGGUAACAUGAAGCAGCUUGCUGCUUCGCUGACGAGUGGCGGACGGGUGAGUAAUGUCUGGGAAGCUGCCUGAUGGAGGGGGAUAACUACUGGAAACGGUAGCUAAUACCGCAUAAUGUCGCAAGACCAAAGAGGGGGACCUUCGGGCCUCUUGCCAUCGGAUGUGCCCAGGUGGGAUUAGCUUGUUGGUGGGGUAACGGCUCACCAAGGCGACGAUCCCUAGCUGGUCUGAGAGGGUGACCAGCCACACUGGGACUGAGACACGGUCCAGACUCCUACGGGAGGCAGCAGUGGGGAAUAUUGCACAAUGGGCGAAAGCCUGAUGCAGCCAUGCCGCGUGUAUGAAGAAGGCCUUCGGGUUGUAAAGUACUUUCAGCGGGGAGGAAGGGAGUAAAGUUAAUACCUUUGCUCAUUGACGUUACCCGCAGAAGAAGCACCGGCUAACUCCGUG
rnacentral:rRNA from 1 species